UCCUGCUACCCACCUGCCAACAGCAGGGCGUCGAGAGCACGUCCCGGUACGGUGGGAGAUGUGUUCUGAUUUAUCUGUGCUCUCUCACCUUGUCCCCUGAGUGACCAAAGCUGGGCAUAUGCAAAAUGGCUGGCUUGGUUUAGAAAUACAAACGGAGACCCUGAAACCGUUGACUUAUUGGUAAUUAGACCACACUGGUAUUGAACCCGUGACCUCAGUCUCAUUAGAGCUGCAUUUGGGCCAACUGAGUUGACCAGAAACAGAUUCAAAACAGUGAGUGAUAGAGGUCUUUGGUGCAGGGUCAAAGGCCUAUUUACACUACCCAAUAUCAUAAGUGGCUUCUUUCCCUGCCAUUUGAAAGGGGCGGCAACAGAUGAAAAUGGCCAUAUGGAUAGGUCACUGCUCUCUGCUUCGUAUCUGUGACUUGUACAGCAUUGCUAUUCUGGCCAACUCCCACCUUCCUUUAACUGCAUUUCCGUGCAACUCAAGGGUUAACGGAGGGAGAGACAAGUGUUUUAGCAGGACUUCACCCCACCCCCUUUCAGUUGCUAAUGGCUAAUAGUAACAAAAACACUGGGAUUAAAGUCCAUUUCUUUAGGAAUGGUUUCCUUUGAAAUGACACCCUUAGAUUUAAAAAUAUCCGCGGUUAAUCAUUAUGUUCGCUCUUUGCUUUUCAAGGAGAGCUCAAAGCAGGUGACUUGUCUUCAUUUUGCGUAGAAAAGGAGUCAGCUCCCAGUGGUCGCGCAGGAUAAAUGGAAAAGGCAGGACUUGGUGUGAAAUCAACGAAAUGGCAAAGAAAUAGCCUCCCAGUAUAACCGGAUUUUUUUUAUGGGAUCACACUGACCUUCCAGGUCAGUGGGAAGAGAAUGGAUUCCCAUGAUCUUGACUAGCCAUUUAAUAAAGCUAGACUUUCUAUGUCAGUGGUUCCUACAGAGCUCCGUAAGAUGUCAGGCAAGGAACAGAGAAAAAUAAAUAAAUUCCAGCCUGUCAUCUUAAGUUGAUCUCUAUCAUAUUCAUCUUCUCCACUCUACUGUGAGGCAUGCUGGACUGUGACCCCUUCUUUAAGGUGAGCUGAGGCAAUGAGUCUUCCUCCACAAACAUUCCUGAGCUCAAGAGCAUUUGCUGUAUUGUCUGUCCCGCUAUGCAAAAGUAGAAAUUACGCACAUGCCUCCAAAACAUCAAAGUGAAGCCCAAAGCUGGUGAACUAUGGAUUGAUCACGGACCCCCCCUGGAGUAUGCUUUGGAUGACCGCAGGGAGAAGUGUGUUCGCAGACAAAUGCAGCUUGAAAGAAACCGUGCCCAGGUCACCCUGCCGCCUGAGAGUUUGGGAUCUUGCAUAAAAUAAGCCUAUGUUCUUUCUCCACCUUCCAAGAAGUCGUUGGCAAUCUGUAGCCAUGUACAUUUGGAAAGGAACCAAGUUGGAUGCUUUGCCUGGGGCCCCCGGAUCCUCUGCCUUGCAGAGUUCCCUCCGUUUGGUCUGAAGCCUUCCAGCCGGGGCUUUAAUUACCCCCACACCUUCUCGAUCUCUGUAUUUAUCAGGAUUGUUUGACUUGCGCGUGACUGAAACUCAACUCAAACCAUCUUUAUUUACCAACUCACAUACCUGGGAAAGAUACCAGGUUUAUCACAGAAUCUAAAGAAGAGCUGCAGAGAUCGGAGUCUUAGAAAUCGGAACUGCAAUACAACCCUACCAGAGACUUUUCAAUUUCUUUCUUUCUUUCUUUCUUUCUUUCUUUCUUUCUUUCUUUCUUUCUUUCUUUCUUUCUUUCUUUCUUUCUUUCUUUCUUUCUUUCUUUCUUCUUUCUUUCUUUCUUUCUUUCUUUCUUUCUUUCUUUCUUUCUUCUUUCUUUCUUUCCCUUUUUCUCAUCUUGGCUUCUUUCUGAGAAAGGUUUCCUCUGUGCGAUAGCCAGCAUCCCUAAAUGCACAUUCUCCUGGGUUAGCAAACACCGCCGUUAAACCACCUUCUCCAAGGGCACCUGGGUGGCUCAGUCGGUUAAGCGUCCGACUUCAGCUCAGGCCGUGAUCUCACAGUUCGUGAGUUGGAGCCCUGCGUCGGGCUCUGUGCU